GAUGAACGCUGGCGGCGUGCCUAAUACAUGCAAGUCGAGCGAAUGGAUUAAGAGCUUGCUCUUAUGAAGUUAGCGGCGGACGGGUGAGUAACACGUGGGUAACCUGCCCAUAAGACUGGGAUAACUCCGGGAAACCGGGGCUAAUACCGGAUAACAUUUUGAACCGCAUGGUUCGAAAUUGAAAGGCGGCUUCGGCUGUCACUUAUGGAUGGACCCGCGUCGCAUUAGCUAGUUGGUGAGGUAACGGCUCACCAAGGCAACGAUGCGUAGCCGACCUGGGAGGGUGAUCGGCCACACUGGGACUGAGACACGGCCCAGACUCCUACGGAAGGCAGCAGUAGGGAAUCUUCCGCAAUGGACGAAAGUCUGACGGAGCAACGCCGCGUGAGUGAUGGAGGCUUUCGGGUCGUAAAACUCUGUUGUUAGGGAAGAACAAGUGCUAGUUGAAUAAGCUGGCACCUUGACGGUACCUAACCAGAAAGCCACGGCUAAUUCUGUGCCAGCCGCCGCGGUAA
rnacentral:rRNA from 1 species